rnacentral:rRNA from 1 species
GAGGAUUACACUGUCUCCCCCCCUAAAUCAAUGAAACUGAUCCCCCCGUGAAGAAGCGGGGAUAAAUAUAUAAGACGAGAAGACCCUAUGGAGCUUUAAACUAAACACCACUUACCUUCAACCACUCCCUUACAAACAGGUAAAGAUCGUGUGUGUUUUCAGUUGGGGUGACUGCGGAGCAAAAUAAAACCUCCACGAUGAAAUCCUCUAAUCUAAGAACAACAUUUCAAAGAAUCAAUAAAUUGACAUAAAUUGACCCAAAUAUUAAUUUGAUCAACGAACCAAGUUACCCUAGGGAUAACAGCGCAAUCCAUUUCAAGAGCUCAUAUCGACAAAUG